rnacentral:rRNA from 1 species
GACGAACGCUGGCGGCGUGCUUAACACAUGCAAGUCGAACGGAAAGGCCCUGCUUUUGUGGGGUGCUCGAGUGGCGACCGGGUGAGUAACCCGUGAGUACCCUGCCCUUGACUUUGGGAUAAGUUCAGGCAACUGGGGCUAAUACCGGCUAGGAGCUCCUGCUGCAUGGUGGGGGUUGGUUAGUUUCGCCGGUUGGGGAUGGACUCGCGGCUUAUCAGCUUGUUGGUUGGGUAGUGUCUUAGCAAGGCUUUGACCGGUAGCCGGCCUGGGAGGCUGACCGGCCACAUUGGGACUGAGAUGCGGCCCAGACCACUACGGGAGGCAGCAGUGGGGUAUAUUGCACAAUGGGCGGAAGCCUGAUGCAGCAACGCCGCGUGCGGGAUGACGGGCUUCGGGUUGUAAUCCGAUUCCGCCUGUGCCGAAGCGUUAGUGACGGUAAUGGGUAAAGAAGCACCGGCUAACUACGUG